UUAAGCGACUAAGCGUACACGGUGGAUGCCCUGGCAGUCAGAGGCGAUGAAGGACGUGCUAAUCUGCGAUAAGCGUCGGUAAGGUGAUAUGAACCGUUAUAACCGGCGAUUUCCGAAUGGGGAAACCCAGUGUGUUUCGACACACUAUCAUUAACUGAAUCCAUAGGUUAAUGAGGCGAACCGGGGGAACUGAAACAUCUAAGUACCCCGAGGAAAAGAAAUCAACCGAGAUUCCCCCAGUAGCGGCGAGCGAACGGGGAGCAGCCCAGAGCCUGAAUCAGUGUGUGUGUUAGUGGAAGCGUCUGGAAAGGCGCGCGAUACAGGGUGACAGCCCCGUACACAAAAAUGCACAUACUGUGAGCUCGAUGAGUAGGGCGGGACACGUGGUAUCCUGUCUGAAUAUGGGGGGACCAUCCUCCAAGGCUAAAUACUCCUGACUGACCGAUAGUGAACCAGUACCGUGAGGGAAAGGCGAAAAGAACCCCGGCGAGGGGAGUGAAAAAGAACCUGAAACCGUGUACGUACAAGCAGUGGGAGCACAGAGCAAUCUGUGUGACUGCGUACCUUUUGUAUAAUGGGUCAGCGACUUAUAUUCUGUAGCAAGGUUAACCGAAUAGGGGAGCCGAAGGGAAACCGAGUCUUAACCGGGCGUUAAGUUGCAGGGUAUAGACCCGAAACCCGGUGAUCUAGCCAUGGGCAGGUUGAAGGUUGGGUAACACUAACUGGAGGACCGAACCGACUAAUGUUGAAAAAUUAGCGGAUGACUUGUGGCUGGGGGUGAAAGGCCAAUCAAACCGGGAGAUAGCUGGUUCUCCCCGAAAGCUAUUUAGGUAGCGCCUCGUGAAUUCAUCUCCGGGGGUAGAGCACUGUUUCGGCAAGGGGGUCAUCCCGACUUACCAACCCGAUGCAAACUGCGAAUACCGGAGAAUGUUAUCACGGGAGACACACGGCGGGUGCUAACGUCCGUCGUGAAGAGGGAAACAACCCAGACCGCCAGCUAAGGUCCCAAAGUCAUGGUUAAGUGGGAAACGAUGUGGGAAGGCCCAGACAGCCAGGAUGUUGGCUUAGAAGCAGCCAUCAUUUAAAGAAAGCGUAAUAGCUCACUGGUCGAGUCGGCCUGCGCGGAAGAUGUAACGGGGCUAAACCAUGCACCGAAGCUGCGGCAGCGACACUGUGUGUUGUUGGGUAGGGGAGCGUUCUGUAAGCCUGUGAAGGUGUACUGUAAGGUAUGCUGGAGGUAUCAGAAGUGCGAAUGCUGACAUAAGUAACGAUAAAGCGGGUGAAAAGCCCGCUCGCCGGAAGACCAAGGGUUCCUGUCCAACGUUAAUCGGGGCAGGGUGAGUCGACCCCUAAGGCGAGGCCGAAAGGCGUAGUCGAUGGGAAACAGGUUAAUAUUCCUGUACUUGGUGUUACUGCGAAGGGGGGACGGAGAAGGCUAUGUUGGCCGGGCGACGGUUGUCCCGGUUUAAGCGUGUAGGCUGGUUUUCCAGGCAAAUCCGGAAAAUCAAGGCUGAGGCGUGAUGACGAGGCACUACGGUGCUGAAGCAACAAAUGCCCUGCUUCCAGGAAAAGCCUCUAAGCAUCAGGUAACAUCAAAUCGUACCCCAAACCGACACAGGUGGUCAGGUAGAGAAUACCAAGGCGUUUGAGAGAACUCGGGUGAAGGAACUAGGCAAAAUGGUGCCGUAACUUCGGGAGAAGGCACGCUGAUAUGUAGGUGAAGUCCCUCGCGGAUGGAGCUGAAAUCAGUCGAAGAUACCAGCUGGCUGCAACUGUUUAUUAAAAACACAGCACUGUGCAAACACGAAAGUGGACGUAUACGGUGUGACGCCUGCCCGGUGCCGGAAGGUUAAUUGAUGGGGUCAGCGCAAGCGAAGCUCUUGAUCGAAGCCCCGGUAAACGGCGGCCGUAACUAUAACGGUCCUAAGGUAGCGAAAUUCCUUGUCGGGUAAGUUCCGACCUGCACGAAUGGCGUAAUGAUGGCCAGGCUGUCUCCACCCGAGACUCAGUGAAAUUGAACUCGCUGUGAAGAUGCAGUGUACCCGCGGCAAGACGGAAAGACCCCGUGAACCUUUACUAUAGCUUGACACUGAACAUUGAGCCUUGAUGUGUAGGAUAGGUGGGAGGCUUUGAAGUGUGGACGCCAGUCUGCAUGGAGCCGACCUUGAAAUACCACCCUUUAAUGUUUGAUGUUCUAACGUGGACCCGUGAUCCGGGUUGCGGACAGUGUCUGGUGGGUAGUUUGACUGGGGCGGUCUCCUCCUAAAGAGUAACGGAGGAGCACGAAGGUUGGCUAAUCCUGGUCGGACAUCAGGAGGUUAGUGCAAUGGCAUAAGCCAGCUUGACUGCGAGCGUGACGGCGCGAGCAGGUGCGAAAGCAGGUCAUAGUGAUCCGGUGGUUCUGAAUGGAAGGGCCAUCGCUCAACGGAUAAAAGGUACUCCGGGGAUAACAGGCUGAUACCGCCCAAGAGUUCAUAUCGACGGCGGUGUUUGGCACCUCGAUGUCGGCUCAUCACAUCCUGGGGCUGAAGUAGGUCCCAAGGGUAUGGCUGUUCGCCAUUUAAAGUGGUACGCGAGCUGGGUUUAGAACGUCGUGAGACAGUUCGGUCCCUAUCUGCCGUGGGCGCUGGAGAACUGAGGGGGGCUGCUCCUAGUACGAGAGGACCGGAGUGGACGCAUCACUGGUGUUCGGGUUGUCAUGCCAAUGGCACUGCCCGGUAGCUAAAUGCGGAAGAGAUAAGUGCUGAAAGCAUCUAAGCACGAAACUUGCCCCGAGAUGAGUUCUCCCUGACCCUUUAAGGGUCCUGAAGGAACGUUGAAGACGACGACGUUGAUAGGCCGGGUGUGUAAGCGCAGCGAUGCGUUGAGCUAACCGGUACUAAUGAACCGUGAGGCUUAACCU
rnacentral:rRNA from 1 species